CUGUGAAACAAGAUACCAGGCUAGCGGCGGACGGGUGAGUAACACGUGGGGGUAACCUGCCCAAGAGAUCGGGGAUAACACUGGGAAACAGAUGCUAAUACCGGAUAACAACAGAUGAUGCCUAUCAACUGUUUAAAGAUGUUCUGCUAUCACUCUUGGGAUGGACCUGCGGUGCAUUAGCUAGUUGGUAGGGGUAACGGGCCUACCAAGGCGAUGAUACAUAGCCCGAGUUGAGAGACUGAUCGGGCCACAUUGGGGACUGAGACACGGGCCCAAACUCCUACGGGAGGCAGCAGUAGGGAAUCUUCCACAAUGGACGCAAGUCUGAUGGAGCAAACGCCGCGUGAGUGAAGAAGGGUUUCGGCUCGUAAAAAGCUCUGUUGUUGGUGAAGAAGGACAGGGGUAGUAACUGACCCUUUGUUUGACGGUAAUCAAUUAGAAAGUCACGGGCUAACUACGUGCCAGCAGCCGCGGUAAAU
rnacentral:rRNA from 1 species